rnacentral:lncRNA from 1 species
CUGGGCAGGAAGGACGCUGCGGUGUGAGAAGAGCACGCGUAGGACGGGCUUCUGAGACUGCACUCGCUACCGUCAACCUCGGAGAGUCAGUCCCACCGAGCUGCACCGCGCCAGCGAGUAGCGGGAGCGACCGCACCCACAAUUUUAGGUCCCAUUCUGCAACUACACCUGUAGGCCUCACCAUCAGCCAUUUCUGAGAACAUACUGUGAUCAUUUCAGUCAUAAUUAUGACUGGAAGAAACAGCAUUGUGAUCACAUGAAGUUUAUGGGGGAAAAAAAAGGAUAAUAAACCAGCCAGUGGAAUGCCAGCAAACGAUUGAGACUUGCUGUAACAGCUUCAACACUGGAAAACGAGUAGACUGAGAGGAAGAUGCAUAGAAUUUAAGAGUAGAGCCUGCUGGAGGAAAUCCAAUUUAAGUUCUAUUUACCCACAGCAUCCCUCAGAUCAUGCAUUUUCUGAAGAGCCUGUCUUUCAGGACGAAUCCACCAAGUACUGGCUUCUAGACACAAGCUGGAAACCAAAAGAAUUCCAAAGAAGAUGAAGGACUGACAAUAAAUGAACCCUCCUAAAAAAAAUGAACUAUUCA